rnacentral:rRNA from 1 species
AGUGAACGCUGGCGGUAGGCCUAACACAUGCAAGUCGAACGGCAGCACAGUAAGAGCUUGCUCUUACGGGUGGCGAGUGGCGGACGGGUGAGGAAUACAUCGGAAUCUACUUUUUCGUGGGGGAUAACGUAGGGAAACUUACGCUAAUACCGCAUACGACCUACGGGUGAAAGCAGGGGAUCUUCGGACCUUGCGCGAUUGAAUGAGCCGAUGUCGGAUUAGCUAGUUGGCGGGGUAAAGGCCCACCAAGGCGACGAUCCGUAGCUGGUCUGAGAGGAUGAUCAGCCACACUGGAACUGAGACACGGUCCAGACUCCUACGGGAGGCAGCAGUGGGGAAUAUUGGACAAUGGGCGCAAGCCUGAUCCAGCUAUACCGCGUGGGUGAAGAAGGCCUUCGGGUUGUAAAGCCCAUUUGUUGGGAAAGAAAAGCAGCAGGUUAAUACCCCGCUGUUCUGACGGUACCCAAAGAAUAAGCACCGGCUAACUUCGUG